rnacentral:misc_RNA from 1 species
AUCUGGAUUUUGUGCUGAGAAAUGCCUGGAUGCUAUGGAUCUUGCAGAGAUGUGCACGAUACGUACGAAUCUUCUGGGCAAUAACUCAUUGCAAAAAAGGCAAAUCGUGCUUGAUUGGCUAUGAAUGCAUGCCAAACCAAAUGAAAGAGCUGAGAAGAUUCUCAUUGGGGUUGAACUUAAAACAAAAUGAGGUGUCCUCUGGGUUCUGUAUUUUUAUUUCCAGUUAAUUCUCGAGAGUCCCCUCCAGUUUAAGGGAGGAACAGCUAUCUGCUUUGUUCUCAGGAACCAUGCUGUGUGGCAAAACCAGCUCUGCCACCUUCUGAAGAUGGCAUAAUCUUCUAGCUGAUGAUUCAGGAAUUACCAUUUUUGAUACGUACCACCACAGAAGGUCUACCCAGUAAUGGAAAAUUUUCUGAUCAUUUACUAAUCCAUCAACAACCUAGGCUUCCUUCCAAGCUAUCAGACUAAUGUCUUCAUCUGCUAGAGACUGAUAAUUGUAAAAUUUGUCAUACAUGUCAUUGAUGUUCACAGUGUUUAAGACUGACUGGAGCCUGGAUAGAAAGUACUCUACACUCUCCCAUUUUGCCUGGCUACAUUUUUGAACAUUAGCCCAUCUUGUAUUUUUAACUGGAAUGAGGCUGGUAUUUUACUCAAGUUUCCCUCACAAAUUAGUUCUGAUCAAUUCAGGUAUGAGCACAGAUUUUUCGCUAUUCCUUCUUACCUUUCAGAAUUGUUUGGCAAUUUCAAGGUUUUUUAAUUCAUUGUGAGAUUUAGAGGCAAAGCUGUGAGACUGUGAGUUGGCAUCCCAAAGCGAGAGUCUCAUGGUCAAACUGUGAGAGUUGGAAGAUUGGUGAUAAGAUGUGUGAUACUGGUGCAUUGCAUCUUCCAAGCUUUCUGGACAAAACCAUCAUGUAUGGAUAUUUGAAAGCAGAGUGGAAAGAUGAGGAUGAAAAUGUCAUUCAUUACCGUAACAGUACAUUUAGCUAUCUUUUGAGGAAUGUGUUUUCUUUUGUUAAAAUACCCAAGGUAAACCAAUUUACAAGAUGUGACUGCUGCAUGGCAUUGGGUGAGGAGAAGAGAAAAGCUCAGGAUGAGGAUGUGCAAAAAUGCUUACACAAGCUUUUGAUUUCCAUAAUGAUCUUCAAAUAUAAGUACUAAUUUCUUUUAAGACACAUAACUUUGAUGUCUGCUUCCUGAUAUAUCUGUCAUGUGAUAUAUGUUUUUAUAGGAAAGAGAGAAAAGUGUAUUACCAUCAAAAAGACAAAUCUAAGAAGUAUUCACAAUAAUAUGCAUGUAUUGCACAAGAUGGCAUGGAUCAGGCAAAGCGUUUCCUUCUACGAUUAGUAGUUAUUGUGUGUGCAUAUGCUUGUGCAAGAAAACUGCAAAACUCAUAUGACUGGUGUGUUAAACCAUGGAGGUAGCCUAAAGGCUAUUUUGAUGUAUUCCAAUUUCCCCAUGAUGCAAACUUCACCAUAAAUAUGUUACUUCUGGAAUUACAAAGCAUGGGAGAGGACCUGACAGAUACCUUUUGCCUACAAAUGGACAAAUGCUGGAGGGAGAAUAAAAAUCAAUUUGUGCUAAACUUUUUAGCUCUUCUUGCAAAGCUUGACAUUUUGUUGAGGUAUGUUGUACUUCUCAUAAGAAAAUGAAAUUUUAAAAAUGGUACAUGUGAAUGAACAGUUAGUUAAAUAUUUAAACAUAAAUAUGUAACAAUUUUACUGUACUUUGAAGUGGGGAUUGCCCCAAUCAUGUAUGAGCAAUGAAAUUCCUUCAAAUUCAAUUUUCAUCUUUGCAGGUGAAACUGAAUUUCUCAAUGGUUGGACACACUCAUGAAGCUGUUAACCAGAUGUUUAACAAGCUUUCUGAAUUUCUGGCAAAGAAGGACACAAGAACCUUCAAAGUGCUCAUGACAUCCUUUGAGAGAUGUUACACCCCAUCUCCAAAGGCUGUAGAGGUUGAGCAUGUGUUUGCUCUUAAGGAGUGGAUGUCAUCCUUUUCAACCAUGUUUCACAACAUUUCAAACCCUCAUGCAUUUAAAUUUACAAAAGCUCCAUCUGGAAAAGUUGUCAUACAGUACAAGAAUUGGGGAAGUGAUAAACAGGAAAACCGGAAACCCUUUAGCCCUGAUCCAGAGCAGUGGUUAACCAUAGUGGGAGUAAGUGGA